UACGUAGGGUGCGAGCGUUGUCCGGAAUUAUUGGGCGUAAAGAGCUCGUAGGCGGUGUGUCGCGUCGGUCGUGAAAACUUGGGGCUUAACCCUGAGCCUGCUUCCGAUACGGGCAGACUAGAGGUAUGCAGGGGAGAACGGAAUUCCUGGUGUAGCGGUGAAAUGCGCAGAUAUCAGGAGGAACACCGGUGGCGAAGGCGGAUCUCUGGGCCUUACCUGACGCUCAGGCACGAAAGCUAGGGGAGCGAACAGG
rnacentral:rRNA from 1 species